UACGGGGGGAGCAAGCGUUGUUCGGAUUUACUGGGCGUAAAGCGUGCGCAGGCGGUGAUGUAAGACAGUUGUGAAAUCCCCGGGCUCAACCUGGGAACUGCAUCUGUGACUGCAUCGCUGGAGUGCGGCAGAGGGGGAUGGAAUUCCGCGUGUAGCAGUGAAAUGCGUAGAUAUGCGGAGGAACACCGAUGGCGAAGGCAAUCCCCUGGGCCUGCACUGACGCUCAUGCACGAAAGCGUGGGGAGCAAACAGG
rnacentral:rRNA from 1 species